rnacentral:tRNA from 1 species
UGUUCUGUGGCUUGAUUAGUUAAACCGCCGAACUAGCGAAACGGAGCCGUGCGUGGGUUCGACUCCCACCAAAACAA